CCGAAGUUGGCCCCGUGGAGUAAAAUACUGCUGAAAAACGCUCGGUCCACGUUGCUGCGUCUCUUUCUCCGUUUUACGUCCCGUCUUCCUUCUUUAUGGCUGGUGCUCGCCAUCGUUCAUUGCAGGCAGGCCAGAUCGAAAUUAUUCUUCUCCGCCUGGCCUCCGCUGCUGCUGCUGACGCCGUCUUCGGCGGGCAGAAAAAAAGGAAGAAAGAAGGCCCGAGACACACCACCGACCGGGAGGGUGCGAACCCCGUGAAAGAAAAAGCUUUAUGCGAUUUCGGCCAAAGGUUUCUCGCCAAGCUCUUCUUUUUUUGCAGGAGAGAGAAGAGGCUCGAACCAAAGCGUACCCAAACCUUCAACCCCAAAACAAACUCUGAAUCUGAACUCUAAAGGGGGCCGCCGCCGCGGUUCGUCCGCCGCAGCCUCCUCAACCUUUAACGUU
rnacentral:misc_RNA from 1 species